CUGAGCCCCUCCUUUUCUCCAGAUUGCAGCUUGUAUACAGAGGGGUGCAACUCUAACUUGAAGAUCUGGAGAACACUAAAGGACAACAAAAACUAUAUGUAAAUUAAACAAAAAUGAAGUGGUUCUGAAGGAUAGCUUAAAAAUCAAUUAAACCACAUUUCACUACAGUAUCUCAGAUUAUGGGGAAAAAGAAGAGAAUAAGAAAAAGGAUUGGUUACCAUGAGGGUUGAACCAAAAGGCAGACAGGAAGAGAGGGUCGCAGGGAGCCAGAGCCUAACCCAGCAACACAA